GCGGGCCAAGAUCGGUAGUAACUGUUUGACUUGUGUUGGAAGAGGAUGUGUCGGCCAGUGUGGUAGACUAGCGGGUGGAGACGCAUUAUCUGAAAUGGCUGUUGCAAUGUAUUGAAAUUAAAUUUUAUUAAACUCUGGGUUGUAGAAGGUCCUUCCAACAUAACUUCAGGAACAGUUGCAGAACAAUCGCUGGAAGUGUUAAAUGCUACAGAAAGUAGCAGUUGUCAGAAUUAGAGGGCCAAAAAUAUUGAUGGGAAAGUCGAACUUCAGCCCUGAGUUUGAAGGUGUUAAUUGCUUGACAUUCUGAAUUAGGUGGUAUGGAAGAUUACAAUGUCAUCAAAGCAUUGACUGGCUUCAGUGUGGUUGUUCUACUCUGCAAAUCUACGAAAGUUGGUGGAUGUUGUCCUUGGUACUCUGGUUUUCCCUGGCCUUUUGAUGAUCUUUGAGUCUUCAGUGGAUUGAAUCUAGGAGAAGCAGCUUGCCACAACCUGAAAUAGACAAUAGUCAAUAUUAAUGUUGCACUGUAAACUAUUAAAUAAAUAUUGCAAUGAAA
rnacentral:lncRNA from 1 species